UGCUGGCAAACAUUGAC
rnacentral:misc_RNA from 1 species